rnacentral:rRNA from 1 species
CCUACGGGAGGCAGCAGUGAGGAAUAUUGGUCAAUGGCCGAGAGGCUGAACCAGCCAAGUCGCGUGAGGGAAGACGGCCCUACGGGUUGUAAACCUCUUUUGUCGGGGGCAAAGCGAGUCAAGGGGGAACCAUUGAGAGUACCCGAAGAAAAAGCAACGGCCAAACCCGUGCCAGCAGCCGGGGUAAUACGGAGGAUGCGAGCGUUAUCCGGAUUUAUUGGGUUUAAAGGGUGCGCAGGCGGAGGGGCAAGUCAGCGGUCAAAUUGCGGGGCUCAACCCCGUACUGCCGUUGAAACUGCAUCCCUUGAGUGCGCGAGAAGUAUGCGGAAUGCGUGGUGUAGCGGUGAAAUGCAUAGAUAUCACGCAGAACUCCGAUUGCGAAGGCAGCAUACCGGCGCGCAACUGACGCUCAUGCACGAAAGCGUGGGUAUCGAACAGGAUUAGAUACCCCUGUAGUC